AGUGAACGCUGGCGGUAGGCCUAACACAUGCAAGUCGAACGGCAGCACAGUAAGAGCUUGCUCUUACGGGUGGCGAGUGGCGGACGGGUGAGGAAUACAUCGGAAUCUACUUUUUCGUGGGGGAUAACGUAGGGAAACUUACGCUAAUACCGCAUACGACCUACGGGUGAAAGCAGGGGAUCUUCGGACCUUGCUCGAUUGAAUGAGCCGAUGUCGGAUUAGCUAGUUGGCGGGGUAAAGGCCCACCAAGGCGACGAUCCGUAGCUGGUCUGAGAGGAUGAUCAGCCACACUGGAACUGAGACACGGUCCAGACUCCUACGGGAGGCAGCAGUGGGGAAUAGUGGACAAUGGGCGCAAGCCUGAUCCAGCCAUACCGCGUGGGUGAAGAAGGCCUUCGGGUUGUAAAGCCCUUUUGGUGGGAAAGAAAAGCAGCAGGUUAAUACCCCGCUGUGCUGACGGUACCCAAAGAAUAAACACCGGCUAACUUCGU
rnacentral:rRNA from 1 species